rnacentral:tRNA from 2 species
GGGGGCGUGGCGGAAUUGGUAGACGCACUGGAUUUAGGUUCCAGCGCCGCAAGGUGUAAGAGUUCGAGUCUCUUCGCCCCCA